GGGGAAAGUGAAUGGCGAAGGACGGAAAGUGUCACAUUCACAGGCGCUGAGCUGAGCGCGGCGGAGCGACCCGGCCUCACACCCCCCCCGCCCCAGAGAAGAGGAAAAGGGGUGGUUCAGUGGCUGUGCCGAGGCGUCUCAGCCUGUGCUGUGCGCGCCAGCGGCGUGGGGUGGGGGUUGUGUGUGCGGUGCCUCUCCCCUGGGUUGCAUGCAAAGCUAACUGUGUGGCUGCCCCUCUCCCAGCCGGGGAAUUGCACUCUUAAAAUAAACCCGGUACAAUGCACCAGCCUGACUCAGCCGCAGACAUUAGUGCUAGGAAGAUGGCGCACCCGGCAAUGUUUCCUAGAAGGGGCAGCGGCAGCUGCGUUACUGCGCUCAGUGCACCAGGUACCGGCGCCGGUAGCGGUGCCCUCUCCACCGAGGAUUAUUCACCGCCUCUGCUCAUCCAGCCGCCGCCUCCGUCUCUUGCAGCAUCUUCCUCGGCGGGUCCACAGCCUCCUCCACAAAGCCUGAACCUCCUCGCACAGUCUCAGCUCCAGCCACAGCCUCUUGUACAGGCUGGUGCCCAAAUAAAAAAGAAAAGUGGCUUUCAAAUUACCAGCGUGACCCCUGCUCAGAUCUCUGCCAGUAUGAGCUCUAACAACAGCAUAGCAGAGGACACGGAAAGCUAUGAUGACCUGGAUGAGUCCCACACCGAAGACCUGUCUUCUUCAGAAAUCUUGGAUGUUUCUUUAUCUAGAGCCACAGACUUGGGUGAACCUGAGCGGAGCUCCUCCGAAGAGACUUUAAAUAACUUCCAAGAGGCUGAGACUCCUGGGGCUGUCUCUCCAAACCAGCCUCCCCUUCCUCAGCAGCAUCCCCCUUUGCCUCAUCAUCCACAGCAGAGUGUUGUGAUCAAUGGAAGUGUUCAUCCACAUCAUGGUCAUCACCACCACCACCUUCAUCAUCACCAUCAUGGGCAUCAUCAUCCAUCACAUCCUGGGGUGGGAAGUACACCAGCCUCUGGAGGGCCACCCCCAAGUCCAUCAUUUAGAAAACUGUCCACAACUGGAAGCAUUGACAAUGUUAUCACAACUGCACCAAGUUCUGCUGCAUCAUCCACUGGUACACCGGCAUCUGCGUUGUCCAAUAUUCGCACUACAAGUACUCCUGGCAAUAUAGGCGUAAGUCCUGUUACUGGAACUAGUACAUUAAGUAAUAUGGCCGGUGGCGGUCCUAGUAUGACGAGCAGCAUGCUUGGUAAUGUUAAUAUAAACUUAAGCAACAUCACAAGUACUGCUAGUGUACAUGCUUUGUCUGGACCCAGCAGCAAUGUUAAUUUGAAUAUCUUGAGUGGUGUUGGCAAUGGUACGAGUGCUUCCUCUAAUGUCAUUAAUAAUGUUACUAAUCCAACUGCAGGAAUGGCAGUGGGAUCAAGUCAGCAGCAGCCUGCAGCUGGCACAUCAAGGUUUAGAGUUGUAAAAUUAGAUUCCAGUUCUGAACCUUUUAAAAAAGGUAGAUGGGUAUGCACUGAAUUCUAUGAUAAGGAAAACACUGUAGCAGUUACAGAAGGAGUAGCAGUAAACAAAGCAGUAGAGACUAUAAAACAAAAUCCACUUGAAGUGACUUCUGAAAGGGAGAGCACCAGUGGGAGUUCUGUUAGCAGCAAUGUAAGCACACUGAGUCACUACACAGAAAGUGUGGGAAGCGGGGAAAUGGGAGUACCAACUGUGGUACAACAGCAGACAUUUCAAGGUGUGGGUCCACAGCAGAUGGAUUUUAGUAGUGCUGGACCUCAGACUAUUCCAGCAUCCAACAUGCCACAGAGUAUUUCUCAAUCACAGCUUGCACAGAUUCAGUUGCCUUCUCAAGAAGUAAACUAUCCUCAGCAAAAGCAAGGAGUUCUGCCUUCAGUGCAGCCUGGUCUAACAGCUGUUACUGGUGUUCAGCCAACCCCGGUUAAUGUAGUAGGCGUAUCAUCUUUAGGUCACCAACAACCUGCUAUUUCAAGUGUUGCUCAACAGCAGCUACCCUAUUCUCAGUCAACACAGCCUGUGCAAACAUUGCCUGUUGUACCGCCACAGCAGUUACAGUAUGGACAACAACAGCCACUUCCUACGCAGAUGGCCCCAGCGCGGGUUAAACCAGUGAAUCAGAGUUCUGUUACAGGGACCAUGACAGACUAUGUACAACAUCAGCAGAUACUUCAGCCUCUAGUGCCUGCUGUGCAAUCCAGCUCUACAGGAGUAGGAGCAGGACCACCGGUUCCUGUUGCUCAGGCACCAAGCAUCCAACCUUCUGUACAAGUGCAUCCUGCUGUGGCACCAGCUCAGCCUGUUGCACAUACUCAGACAGCAAUGCCACCAGGAGGUACUGGUGGUCAAAUUAUCAACAUUGGACAUCAAGGAAAUGUACCUGCUGUGGUGCACCAGCCACCUGUUGCAAACCAAAUGACGCCUUCAGUUAUGCAGCAGAGUGGUGCUCCUCCAUCUUCACAAGUGGUGCAACCUGUUCAGACUGGGAUAAUUCAGCAGGGACUACAAGCUGGUACUUCCAGCCUUCCUCAGCAAAUGGUCAUCGCUUCUCAGAAUACUUUACCUGUGCAACCCCAGGCACAAGUAGAAACUGUGGUUCAAGGAAUGACCAGCCAAACAUUGCCUGCAGUUAGCCCUAUACCUUCUGCUAGUACUGUUCCUGCUCCAAGUCAAGCUAGUUCAAAUGUACCUCCUGGAAUACCUUCUGCUCCUGUAAGUUUGGGUCCAUCACAGAACAUAGCACAAGCUUCAGCUGUACAAAAUGGGAAUAUGGUUCAAAGUGUUAAUCAGCCUCCCUUGAUAUCAACUAGUAUAAGUAUGCCAGCGGCACAGAAUGUGUCACAACAGAUAGCACUAGGCUCCACUCAGUUCUCUGCACAAUCGCUAACUCAGGCAAUUGUAAGCCAAAUUGAAGAUGGCAGGCGCCCUACAGAACCUUCCUUAGUUGGUUUACCUCAAGCUGCUAGUGGUGAAAGUGGUGUUGGAGCAUCAGCUGUUUCAGAUGGGAGUGGCAGCAACAUAACAUCCUCUGCUUCCCUUUUUCCACUGAAGGUACUGCCAUUGACAACACAUCUUGUUGAUGGUGAGGAUGAGAGAAAUGACUUCUUCAGAGGCACCAGCGAACACUUUUCAAGGACAUUUCUGGCACCCCUUCCCCUAGAGACUGAAAGCAUCCUUCAUGGCAGUUACUUUUAAUUCCAUGUGGAACACGCCCCUCACCCUACAAGACUGUGGAACAGACUGUUCAAAGGUUUGAGAGCAAACACAUACUUGCUGUUGGUAAUGAAAGGCAAGCAAUUAGUGUUUUAUUCUUUAAAAUAAUGGGAAAACAAAGCAGCAACAAAUUAAAUAUGGUUAUACCACUUUCAGAAAGGAGUGGAAGUAUUUAAGAAAAAUCUUUAUAUUUAACUAAUGGCAGUUGUUAAAAAUCAUGUGGUAUCUUGAUACCAAAAGAAAAGCAAAGUCUUGGUUACAGUUAGCUGAAUGUUUGAUGCUUCUGAAAGCUAUAUAGAAUUUACAUUUUACCUUCUCUGUAAUGUGUUUGAAUUGGCUGAAGUUUAAUGAAGUAUUGUCACUUUCAUUAGUUUCCUACUAAAAGUAAUUGCUACAAUAAUGUUUCCGGAGAAGUCAGGUCGGAUAGAACUUUCCAAAUACUUUUCAUCCACCCUGUGGUUUUUUUUCCCAACCAUCUUAUAACUAUUGUAGUGGUUUUUUUUGUUUUUUUUUUAAAGCAGUCCCUGAUUCUGCAGCUGUAUUAAUGCAUGCAGAUGCUUGCAGAUAUGCAGACUUUCAUUGAUUUCAAUAGAAUUCCCUAGGAAUGUAAGAGUUUGCCCAAUCAUACCCCAUUGGUGGACUGUAACGUUAUUUGGCAUCAUAUACAUAAACAAGUUGUAUGCUUGUCUUGUGUGGAUUAUGUGUUCUGCUUUAUUUUAUGUGAAAUGCACAAAUAAGUGGUCAUUGCUUUUUUUCCCCAAGUAUUUCCCGGCUGAACUGGCCACUUGAAAAAAACAUUGAGGGAUUCUUGAUCCUAACAGCUGGCCUUACAAUACAGAAUGACUGAGUCUAACAUUGCACACUGGUAUGCCUGUGAAGAGGCAUUACCAAAGUUAAUUAUGUCUAGUGCAAAUGCUGGGAGGUCUGACUGAGCAAAGCAGGUAGGUGAAAGAUGCUUGCAUGGAGAAGAGAUGAGAUGGAGGGAAGCAAGUGUAUGAAACAGUUUUAUUUAAAAGAAAUAGAAAACUCUACCUGAAUUGAGUUGGUGAGACUUUCCUUACAAACAAGACUAAAACAAUUGUAAUUUUUCACAGGCACACUUAAUUUCUAAUACUAAAAUAAUUCAAAUAUAGGUAAAUUUUGGGAUUUAGUCCCAAAGAAACAAAAUUAAAGAACAGUCUGAAAAUGUUAAAUGGUUAAACUUUUGCGCAACUACUUUAAGAUAAUCAAAAGUACAAAUGAAUAAGUUUUGUGGAAAGAUCAUCAGUUUCACUUUACUACACAUGUAAGAUGUGAAUAGUUCAUAAUCUGAGUGAAGUUAACAACGUUGAUAGUGUGGCUUUCUUUUGAAAGUUAAGUAUAAAUAUUGAACCAUCUUACCAGAUCUUUGGGACCUGAUCCUGAAAUGCAUAGUGCCUGGGUCAGGGCUUUAAAUUGUUCUUCAUAAGUAUUCAGUCAUAUGUGCACACAUUAGAUAAGAAUACGAUUUUACCGUUUUGUACUUCUUAUUAGCAUUGCAGAGCCAAUACAACUACGAAAGCAUCUACUUGUGCCUGAGCAAUAAGAUUAAGUUCCAGUUAGUCAACUGAUGUAACUGAGGGCCUCAUCGUUGAUUGCUGCUAAAGACAAGAAAAUAACAUGGUUUGAGUCUCAGAUUGCUUGGAUUGUGACGCCAAUAGGAACCAAUCUUUUCCCCUGAAACUUGAGCACAUUUCACAUGGAACACAAUAAACCUGGAAUUCCACAAUGCCAUUUUUGAGUCACUUUACAAAAUAGGAUUGCACUUUUUGGAAUGAAUGCUACAAAAAGGGAGGAUUCUUUAUUUUCAGUGCAUAAUGUAUAGUUCUCCACUAGCAUUAAUGGCAGUGAUAUAUAUUUGAGAGCAGGAUGGUUAUACAUAAGGGAUGCAAAGUUUCUUCACUUUUUGCUGUAUUUGAGUUCUCCAGAGAUUACAAACACCAGAGGAAAUUCAUGGAGAAGAGCAAGUGUAAACCCUGAAGGAGAAAAGACUAGCAAAAUGUCAUCUGCAAACUUCAGAUUGAAAAAUGCAGAGCAAUGAAAAACCUGUAAAGAAGCUGCUAUUCAGAAGGUAUCCAAUACUCUUCUCCUUCCCCUUCAGUCUUACCACCUUGUCCUGGAAGUUUGGAGUCAUACCUUAGCCUUCUGCUUCAUUCUUUUUCCAGUUGACCCCUAAAGCAAAGGGAAGAAACCAACAGGAAAGAUGAUUGAAGAAAGGAAGAAGACAGAAUCGAAGAAGUAUCUGAGUGAGUCAGUUUCAGGCAGAAGCUUCCAAGGUGCAGAGUCAAAAUGAGAUUUCCUUUGGGGGAAGGAUCUGCUUCCAGGAUUUGCUCCUUCCUUGUUCUCUGGGCAGACACUGAAUUCUUGAACCCUCCAUCAGUGUUGCAGGGUUCAAGUAAACACAUGGAUUAAGCUUGCAAGUCUUCAGCUGUACUGCCAUGAGCAGAUUUUCAAAUCUCAGAUUAAGUGAAGUUGGGCCGCAUCAAAGACAUCAGAAGAAUUUGUGAAACCUGCUUCUCUUGUGCUCCAGACACUGCUGCUCUUAUAAGACCCCCACUUCUCUUGCACUUCUGAUUCAAUUUCUGUAAUUAUAAAGCAUGA